UUAUAGUGGUUAGUAUCCCCGCCUGUCACGCGGGAGGCCGGGGUUCGUUUCCCCGUGACGGCACCA
rnacentral:tRNA from 1 species